UACGAAGGGGGCUAGCGUUGUUCGGAAUUACUGGGCGGAAAGCGUGCGCAGGCGGCUUCUCAAGUCAGGGGUGAAAGCCCAGAGCUCAACUCUGGAAUUGCCUUUGAGACUGAGUGGCUUGAGUACGAGAGAGGUGAGUGGAAUUCCCAGUGUAGAGGUGAAAUUCGUAGAUAUUGGGAAGAACACCGGUGGCGAAGGCGGCUCACUGGCUCGUAACUGACGCUCAUGCACGACAGCGUGGGGAUCAAACAGG
rnacentral:rRNA from 1 species